GCCGGGGCGGGGCCGUGGCCGCCGCCGCGUCUUUUGAAAGUUUGCACCGGUAGCGCACUGGAGAGGCGGGGCUGGCCUCCCGCCCUCGCCGUUCCCGCGCGGACAGCGCUGGCUCCUUCUGCCACACGGGAGGGGCCACAGGGCACAGAGGCCUCCUCCAGGCACUGGGCCACUUUGGGUGGUGCCUGGACUCCGGGACGGAGAGCACACAUGCAGGUCACCCUGGACAGUGACAGGGGCUCCAUGACAGUCCAUCCAGGGUAUCCAUUGGACCGUAUCAUCUACUGUUACUAAGCCUGUCUCCAUGAGGCCGGAGUCACACUGAACACUGUACCUGGUCAUGCUGUGGGUCAAGCCAAGCUGACAGAACAGACAGCCUCGAUCAAGGAGGAGUGGCGUGAGGUGGUGGUCACCUGGACAUGGUGUGGUGGUCAAGGCCCGACCAAGGCGGGGGGUGGGGGGCUUGAAAGUUUGUUGCCUUUUAGAGGAAUCUCAUUGCAGUCUCCCGAGCUGUGGUAUCACAGCGUUGAAUUCCACAGGGAAAAUAUUCAGAGUAAAGAUUCUCCCAGCAGCCAGAUAACUGCCAGAGAGAUGCAAGGCAAUCUCACAGAGUCAGAGCUGGGGCUGAGGGGAGCUGUGGCAAGCUGCAUGGUCCUCUUGUCUCGCACCUUCCAGGCCAAGGUGGAAGGUAGGGCCCUGGAGUGUGGCAGAGGAGUUUUCUGUGAAGAAACAAAUCCAAGCCCCAGGAGGCUCAUGGUGUGUGUGAAGUCCAUUCCCUGCAAACCGGCUCAGGGGACUAUUCGUCUUUAUACUGAAUGGUUCAUUCACAUCCUGCUACAAAUGUCUGUGUUCUCCAAGUCUCAGGGGGCUGCAGGACCCCAAAGACUCCUGCAAGUGAGAGGAGGUGUCCACAAGGCACUCCGGGGCUAGAUAACCUGGCAAAGGUGGCAGCUCUGUUUGCUGCAGAGGAGAACAGCAGAGAGUCGCCUUGGGAGUUGAGGCCACAGAGUCUGUGGGAGGAGCUCUUUGAGGAACAGGUGGCCCAAGGAGAGUGGCAGAGAGCAAAGAAAGAGGUAUCUCCGGUCUGCCACUCUGUGAGGCUUCCCUCUUGAAGAGGCCCAACGGAGCAGCCUUCCCCCCAUAGCAGCUGCCUGGAGAGGCCCAGGCCUGUCUGUGUCUCCUCAGACUGCCACAGUUUCCCAGUGACACAGGCCUGUCUGAAUCAGAUCAGUGGCAGGUAUAGACAGAGAGGGUCAGAGAGGGAAGAAAGGAGGGAAGGAAGAGAGAGGGAGAGGCUGGGUCGUAGAGAAAAGAGCCAGAGUUUGACAGACAACUGUGGGUGCCAGCUCUGCUGUGUAACUGUGGAGAAAUUCCUUGUCUCCCUGAAGCUCACUUCCACAGCUGCUAAAUAAAGGCUAGGGAUAACGGUACCAAUAUCAGGACACCCCAUGAUGUGAGUCUCCCCAAUAGUAACUGUCCUAUCAUGGAGGAAAGAGUACACUGGGGCUACCUCCUCCCAUGAGCGGAGCUGAAGUUCCUAAGGGAGGUCCCCGCUAGUGGGCGACAGGAAAACUGGAAGCAGGUAAUGUAACCCCAGGGUGGUGAGUUGGGUAAGGGAACUAUGGGUGUUAUCAGGCCAAGGGGCUACUACUGGGACUGCUCCCUGGGGUCCAGGCAUUGCCUUUAGCUCACGUGGGAAUUCCCUUUGCUUGUUUGUCUGUUGAGAUGGGGCUCUCAGCGUGUGGCCCAUGACUGUCCUGGAACUCCCUGUGUAAGCCACCCUUGCCUCAAAUGCUACUGCCGCCUCUCAAAUGCUGGAACUGAAGGUGUGUACCACCACACCUGGCUUACACGGUGUUCUUAUGAAGAGAACAAUUCAAAAAGGCACAGAAAUCAGUUCAAGGACACACGGGGCCCCGGGGACAGACUAAGAGGUUCCGGCUGGUCCUUCUGGCCUUCAAGACCUGGACCCCGAGGUAUCCUGGCCAAAGGCUAAAUGGCAUGCUGUCCCAAAAGGAAUUAAUGCCCCCUCACCCCUAGAGUCCUCGAAGGGCAGCAACCAUCGGUUCAGGAGCCGCCCCACAGGGCAUCCUUCAUGGUGCAAAGACAAGGCCUGCCCUGCGCUGGAUCCCAAAGAGGCUCUUUCAACCACCAGGUCACCCUAGGUCACUCUCUGGUCCAUCUAAGGGCAAAGCACUCCCAGGUUUAGUCUCCCAUACAGUGAGGGCCUAGUAUAGAUCCUAGAUCAGGCCUGAGAGCAGUUGCUGGAUUUUAAGGAGACAGGCGUGGCUAGGAGGAGGAGCUCCAUGGCCUAAGGGCACCCAGGCAGACAGGUGGAGUUUGCCAGGCCAAGGGAGAGCCAAGGGAAAGUCAAGGGAAGAGUGUCAGGCUCUGCAGAAUUUUUUUUCUCACAAGAAAGAGAGAGAGAGAGAGAGAGAGAGAGAGAGAGAGAGAGAGAGAGAGAGAGAGAGAGAUGUGUAUUGAUUGUAUGAAGUAACAGGCCCCACAGGAUAUCUUUGUAAUCUCGGUGUUAAGUUUUUUUUUUUGUUUUUUUUUUUUGGUUCCAGGGCCUUGCGCUUCCUAGGUAAGCGCUCUACCACUGAACUAAAUCCCCAGCCCGGUGUUAAGUUUUUUGAUCACAGCCACCGGUCCCCUUUCUUGGGCCCAACAUUUUAGAGAUGCUUCCUUGCUCCACAGUUACGCCUGCAGACACCCAGGGGCUCCUAAAAGUGGGCAUUGCAGUCUGGUCCCCAGCCUCUGAAGCCAACCAAGGUUACCCAGGAAGACAGAAUCCAGAGUCGGGCUGGAGCCCGGGUUUAGAUGCCAUUACCCUGGCCUCCCUCCCAUAAGCACCCGGGAUGGGCACACACCAACCUAGUGAUUCAGGAAGCAAAACCCUGGGGUCCCGGUUGUCACCAAGCCAGGCUUGCCAGGAGCCGGCUCAGUCACACAGCCCGAGCUGCUGCUGAGGAAGAAGGGAAGAGGCGGUAUUUUUGGGACCCAUCACAUGAAGCAGGCUGAGCUCCCCCCUAUUUUUAGCAACCAAACUGCAGGUACCUGCUUCUCCCCCACUGGGAGAAAAACCUUCAACAAACAUCCGUUCACACUAGCCCAAUAAAUUCCUUAAAUAAAGCAGCUACAUUUUGGCAUCCCCUGCACUAGAAACACACGCUCCCUGGGUUUUUAAUAUCACACGCGUGGCCUGCAUAAUUUUAACCUGAGUGCAUGGUUGCCGUCUUGUUCCGUGAGUCACUGUUUGGGGUGUCAGGAUAUGGGGGUGAGAUGGGCGGGCUCGGUGGAUGUGUAGGUCAUGUGCACCGCAGGUGGUCCGCCUCAGGGAAUGGGCUCUCCUGAUCCUUAGAAGAGGAAAGGCAGUUACAGGGAGGCCUGGAGGCCACUGUGCUACAUUUCCUGACUUCAGACCACGAGGCAGACUCGUCUCCACAGCCUCUUCUGUGGUGUCAGUGGGUAAAGACCGCCUUCCCACCUACCCAUUGCCUGACUCUGGGGGACUUCCAUAAGCUCAACCCCUCCAUGGCUGUGCUCAGCAGGCACGCUGAGCCUUUUGUAGCUGUCGUCCCCCACCCUAGAGUGUCCCUUUCUCCUGCCAUCUUGACUAGGCUGGUGCAAUCUGUUCCAUCCUCUCCUGAGAGCUUGGGGUUGAGAGGGAGAGGGAAUGGUGGUGGUGGUGGUGGUGGUGGGGUCUCUCUUGACUUCAUUUCAUACCAGGCUCUCAGUCACACACUGACAGGUUGCUUUCUAGCUGCCUUCCUUUCCCCUUGAACCUAACAUGGUCAAGGAGGGCCUUUCCCCUUCACUGUCCUCCGGAAUUGCGCCUUAAGUAGAUGCUCAACAAAUAUCCACUGGACGAAUGAACAAGCAACUCCUCCUAACUCCCAGAAAAGCUCUUCCCUACUUCAGAGAUGAAGAGGCUGAGGUUCAGAAAGGUCGAUGACUUGCCCAGGGUCACAUAACCUGCAUGGAGGGACCCAGAGUGAGUUCAGGACUGGGACUGACCCCCAGCAAUGGGCCCGGUAUCUCUUUUUCUCCUCUGUGGAUAGGAUGAACAUCCCUUUGCAGGGCAGGCAGGGAGAGGCCAAGUAACAUCAUUAGUCAGACAAGUUGGGAGCUGGACAGUGAGGACAUGUGUUCAGUCGUAGUCUGCAGGGAGCAGGCAAGGAACCCAUCCAUAAGGAGUAUGUCACUGUGACCAUUAACUCUGACUAUCUGUCCACUGGUUUAUUGUAAAACCAGCUUACGCUGAGUACCAUUGGCACCUUAAAGAGCUCAGGAACGGAGAGGUCAUUUAGAACACAGUAAGGUGACCCCAAAAGUCUGCCAUCAGCUCCAUGGAAGGCCGCUCCUUCCAUUCAGAAGUUCUUCUACUUGUCCCUCCUCUUGCUGCCCCAAACCCAUGGCCUAUGACACCGCCACCAUGAAGCCCACUCUGGUCUCAGGCACAUGGGAGUGAGGACCAGUGAGCACAGAGUGCAUUCACUUACAAAUGGGGCACUGAGGUGCAGAGGCCCAGUGAGGGCUAUCAUGGGGACUUCAUUGCUUCUGCUCUGCCCAUUGUCUCCGUGGCGCUGCUGUCUCUACCUGGGCUGCCACCUGCUAGUCAGCUGCCCAUCUACUGUUUCUCUUCCCCAGGAGCUACUGCAACCUUGCCACAGCCUUCCCCACUUGGCUCUGUAGGUAGGUCUGUAGGAUGUGUGUGACUGGGAACAGGAAUUGUAAAGGCAUCAGGGAUGGGCUUAUUCCCUCCUGUCUGUCAGCAGAGGAACAGAUGGAAUUAUCCUGGUAGUCUGUGGCCUCAGUGGAUGUUAGCACCAUGAGGGGCCAGAAAGGUGGGCCUUUGGAACUUCUUGUUCUGCUGGCCUGAGGCGGGGUCUGGUUCCUCAUCUCACCCUGCCCAGGGAUUCUGCUGUGGGACAUUGAAAGAGUUGCUUUGAGCUAAUCCCAUGGCUGCCCCAAAGUCAGUUAAAACUGGUGUAGUAGUGAAUCAUGAAACAGGGACAAGAUAAUGCUCACCUGUGUGGUCCAGGUGUUUAGAGAAGAAACCCUUCCUGGCUGAGGGAUGGCUUGACCCCAGACAGUUCAUGUCAUACCCAGGUGCUGCUGGAGAGGUGAGGUCACAGUGAACAGAGCAAGUCCCACCAUUCAUCGUGUGGUCUCCCAAUGGUCAAUAGAAAAAGGGAUAGCUGGUCUUGCCUGUAGGGUUGUCCUCCACAGAUUCUUAAAUUUCGCUUGACACGACCUAGGGUAGGGAGGGAGUGGGGCACGCUGAGGGAGCCCUGCAUGUGGGCUCUGGCUGUUCCUCUAGGGAAUCCUCUGAGGGCAACAGAGAGAUGUGGAGGGCUCUGCACACAUAGUGUGUGACAGUGAGCAAACCUGCACUCAACCCAGCCACCAGGGAAGGGAAGAAGGUCCCACCGUUGGACCCCACCACCAGGGAAGGUCCUACCGUUGGAGCCACAGCCUGCUAAAGCUGGGGAAUGGCGACUUUGUCAGGUAUGUGUAAGCACCCUUCCUUCUUGUUCAUCCCAGAAGCCCAGGUUUAUGUCACUGCUGGCAGAGAAGCCCAAAGGAGCACGUAUUUUGGGAUGCCCCUCUUUUCUUCCUCUUUUCAAGGUUCUAUUCUACCUUACCUCUCCCAAUGCUCAGUUUUCUUCCAGCCAGCUCUCUGGAAGCUUUGCUGGGGGUAACAGCAGCAGGCUAACUCCUGAGGGGUGCCCGCCUUGCUGGGAAUGGCACGGCUUUCUAGUAACGCUGCUUCACAAGGAGACCGAGAGAGAAGCACACAGAUACACAAGACGCCCACAUCAGGAACAUCCCUGGUGACACAGUCUAGCCAUGUUCCUGGUAGACCUUCUCUUGAUGGCCUUUCCCUCAGGCACACAUCUGGUGAGCUUUGUGUAAGGAACAGGCUGCACCUAGCCAUGACCCUCUUUCUGUCAUCUUGGAUCCAGGGGUCAAAACGCGUUUCCUUCUUAGAGCCUGGUAACUUGACUUCCAUUCUCUACACUCAUCUUUGUGAGGCAGCAUUGGGGCAGCCCCAGCUUCUCAGGCUGACCCAAGGAAGACACAAGAAAAGCCACACCUGCAAGAAGGGCAAGUGGCCUGUAAGGACCCUGAGCCCUGGAAGAAACGAUGGGUGUCAGGGCAGACUGUGAUCAAUGUGGGUGUGGAAAUUCGGGGAUCCUUUUUCUCUUCUCUCCCCUCCCAUGACACAUGUGUUGAGCCAUUUGAUUCGUAUCCUUGUAAAUUACAUUCGUGGGUCUGGGACCGUAGCUCAGUGGCAGGUGCUUACACAACUCCUUGCCUUCAAUCUCCAGCGCAGCAAACAAAGGGAAGUUAUCGUUGCAUUUCAUUGUGGGUAAUUUCUGCUUCUCUGUCUUCGAGGUCACUAACAACUGGAGGCCUGCUGUGGAUCCAGCCCCGCUCAACCUGCCGGGUGCUCUCCCACUGCACUGAGCCAGAUCCUCAGAGGCCUCGCUUCCAGGGCAGAGUUGUACUCCACUGGCACGCAGACUGACUCCACGAUGUGGCUGUUCAGUGCUCAGUCAGCACAGAGGGCUGCCAUCUCUCCAGGACACCAAUCUCUGGCCUUCUGGGAGGAACCAGUGCACACAGGAUCCUUCUGUUUUCGAUGUACCCAUGCUGUCGAUGAAGCAAAGCAACCUUUUGCUCUCAUGCCAGGGUCUCUGUGGAGCUGUAGUGAUGAUAGAUUGCAUGGUCCUUAGAGCAUCUCCUGGUAAGGGUGAGGCUGAAUAUCUCAUAUGGUUGGACUCACCCCUUGGAAUAGUCCAUUGUCUCAUUCAAUAAAAAGGACCUGGCACGUGAAUUAUGUGGACAUUUUGCCAAAUACACGAUUCUACUAACCCAGAGAGAACACAGAGAACAACAUAACAAAACUAACACUCAAGUCAACAGAUAAGCCCAUGUAGAGGUUUGGAUAAGAACAGGCCCCAGAGGCUCAUAGGUUGAAUGCUUUGUCAUUGGGGAGUGGCACUGUUUGAGAGGGAUGAGGAGGUGUGGCCUUGUUGAAGGAAGUGUGUCACUCACUGGGGUUGGGCUUUGGGGUGGGCUUUGGGGUUUCUAAAGUUUAAGCUAUGCUGACUCUAUAUCUUCUUCCUGCCUGAGGAUCUGGGCUUAGAACUCUCCAGGACCAUGUCUGCCUGGAUGCUGCCAUGCUCCCCGCCAUGAUGGUAAUGGAUGAAACCUCUGAAACUAUGUCAGCCCCAAUGAAAUCUUUUCCUUUAUAGUUGCUGUGGUCAUGGUGUCUCUUCACAGCACACUGACCAAGGCAGUCCAUAGGGAAGCAUUUAUGAGGUCCCAAUGAUGCCACACCCAGGCAGCAGCUGAGUGUGUCUCUCUAGCCUUUGCUGGAGCUGUACAGGGGGUGGGAGGGGAAUGGCAGCAAGGAGCUAAUUCUUGAAUGGUCACAGGAGGCAAGGAUGGCCAGUGGAAGGUGGUAGGCCUUUAUCCUCACCUUCCAGAGGCCCUACCUAGAUGCCACCAUGCUGCUGUUUCCUGGGGGUAUCCAGAUACCCCCCACUACCCAGGUGUGUGGGCGGAUUUGCUGUCAGCUAUGUAUUUGCAAAACCUAUCUUCCUGCAGCCUCCCACAAGAUUGUUGCCCCAUGCCAGCUGACCAGCCCCAAGCUUGCCUCCUGGCCACUACCAUUCUGCUGGAUUCGAAGCUUCCUUACAGCACCAGCACCAGAAUCUGAUUACUGGACAGGUCGGUCAAAGUCAGUCAUCCACCGUUAAGACCAUACAUACUGUGAGGUUAGAUAUGAGUGACCAGGCUCCAGGUUCACAGAUUUCUGAGAUCCUUAAUGUCUACGCCCAUGCCAGCAUCGCUGAAUUGAUCCAUCUAUCGAAAGCCACCAACAUGUUCCCAAAGGAGCUUGGUCUUGGCUUAUCACAGUGAGCUGCUUUCAGCCCCGCCCGCGGUGCAGCCCGGCACUAUGUGUUGUCUUCCUUCCCUUAGAAUGAAUUCCCCACAGCAAGCUGGCACAUCACCGCAUAACACAGCCAGAGGCACAGUGAGCAGAGCCAGCUUCAGAGGGUACUACCACCUAUCAGACCAUCAGCCCGCAGGGAGUGACAGCUGCUUGUCUGGCCCCACCCUCCAACGAGCCAGCGCUCCUUUGUGUCCUCCCUCAAUGAUAGCUCCUUGCUGUGUUCUUGCCGUGCUCUGCCCAUUCUGCAUCAGGUUUUAAGCUGCAGCAAAAACAGCCAUCGGGAACCUUCAGUCUGAGGGGGGCCCCCGAAAUCACAUUGUUCAGGAGAUUUGGGAGUCCUGGCUUAUAGCCAGCUUCAUUCAUCGAUGAGAACAGACUGGAGAGCUGAUCUUUCCUCAUAGUGCCUGACUUUUCCCAGAAGACACCUGGCAGUGUUGCUCAAGCCCGUAUUGUCAAGGCCACCACACCCUCUGUGCCGUCACCAGCCUCCUACCUUUGUCUCAGGCAAAACCGCCUGGCACUGGUGCUGCAGCCACUUGGCAUGCUGCGGGAGAUGGCACUGCCUGAGAGUUGGGUGGGAGAAGCAUAAUCAGGCAGCAGCUGGGAAAGUGAUCGUCGCACAGAUAUAAGGCCCUGAGUUUGAAUUCCCCAGCAUCCAUAUAAUUCCCAGUAACCAGGCAUGGCGAUGCACAUUUGUAACCCCAUUGCUGGGGUAGUCAGUAGAAAGGGGAAGCAGAGACAGGAGGAGUCCUGUUGCUCGUUGGCUGGCCCUCUUAGUGGAAUGAAUGAUGUUCAGUAAGAGACCGUGUCUCAAAAUCAAACAGAGCAAAAAUCUCGAGAGUCAUGGCGGAAGGCAUCUGACCCCUGGCUUCCACAUGCAGGCACACACUCAAACAUAGACACUUCCACAUGAACAUCUACACACACUGUGAAUACGCAUAUGUGCCACAUGGCUUGGGGGAGGGGCUCUGCUCUCAGCAGCUGUGUGACCUUGGACAAGUUAGAUCACCUGCCUGAGCCUCAAUGCCUUUACAAAAUGUGACCGCCAGGGCUUCUGAUUGUACAGCCCGUGGGAGACCAAGUAAGCACUGAGUGAUUAGGCCAGGGCCUGGUACUCAGGGUAUGUGACAACUGGCCUCCGUCACUGUCCCUCUGCAGGAGCAUACUGAGCCACAUGCCCCUUGCACCUGAUCUCCCAGGUCUCUUCCAGCCCUCUGAUUUGGAUCAGUGUGGUCACCACAAACCUCACACAGCCAGUUCCAAACAGUCUUGAGAAGGGCUGGCCACCUAGGACCUCUCACUCCACAGCAUUCUUCUGACCAAACACAACCAUUCAUGUUCAGAACAUAGUUACAGGUUUUCUCCAACAUCCUGGUCUCUUCCUCCUUGUGUGUGUGGGAUGGCACUGUGAAGGGGGCUCCUGCCUCCUUCCCUUCUUCCAAAUCAGUAGCCUUGGCCUGAGAUGCUUCCUGAGGUUUCCAACAGAUAGCCUUCCUUUCCUUCAUCCAUCUAUUACCUACCCACGACCCAUCCACCCAGCACCCACUCAUCACCCACCUAUACCAUCCUUCCAUCAAUCGCCUGUCACCACCCAUCUACCACCCAUCUCUUUUUUUUUUUUUUUGGUUCUUUUUUUCGGAGCUGGGGACCGAACCCAGGGCCUUGCGCUUCCUAGGUAUCCUAGGUAAGCGCUCUACCACUGAGCUAAAUCCCCAGCCCCUACCACCCAUCUCUUAUUCAACCAUCCAUCCAUCCAUCCAUCCAUCCAUCCAUCGCCUGUCACCCACCCAUCUAUCACCCAUUUCUUAUUCAACCAUCCAUCCAUUCAUCCAUCCAUCUACUCAGUCAUCCAUCCAUCCAUCCACCCACCCAUCCAUUCACCCACACAUCCAUCCACCCACCCAUCCAUCCAUCCAUCCAUCUAUCCAUCCAUCCAUCUAUCCAUCCAUCCAUCCAUCCAUCGCCUGUCACCCACCCAUCUACCACACCUCUUAUUCAUCCAUCCAUCCAUCCACUCAGUCAUCCAUCCAUCCAUCCAUCCACUCAGUCAUCCAUCCAUCCAUCCAUCCAUCCAUCCAUCCACCCACCCACCCAUCCAUCCAUCCACUCAGUCAUCCAUCUUGCCCAUCCAUUCAUGCAUCCAUUCUUCUAACAAGUUGAUGAGUCAGGUCUGCUCUCUACUCUACAACACAGUCACUGAAAAACACACUUUCCAGGGAAGCUAACGUCAAGGAAAUGAACCAGCACACCGAGUCAGACCCUUCCCCUCAUGAUCUGGCCUCUGGCCUCCCUUCUCUUCCCCCCUCCUACCAUCAUCCAGAAACUCAGUGAGAACUGCCCUCAGCAGGGAAAGUUUGCCUCGGACCAUUCCUGGGAGUUCCUUUUCAUUGUUUAGUAUGCAGGCUGCCUCUAGUGUGCGACCUAAAGAUGGGUUUGUUGACUAAGGAAACAUCUGACUAGUGCACCCACCAAGAGGAGUCAUGAGCAAAGGUACUAGAAAGACAGUUGUCCACCUUCCUCCUGGAUACUCUACAUCUGGGAACGGAGGCAUAGCCAUGGGGACUCUGGCUGAAGGCCUUAGCCUGUGACCCUCACAGUCUUGCCAUCCUCUAAGCGCCUUUGGCUUCCUGUGUGUCAGCUGUAGUCCCUAUAGAAGCUCAAGUCCUUACGAUCCUCCUCCCUGCUCUGUUCAACCAAGUUCCUCCUGCCCUUUAACCAAGAACUGCCUCAGCCCCCAAGAGCCACCUGAAGGUCACCUGGGGGUCGCCUGAGGUCAGUUUUACACAUCCCCUGUGCUCUCUGACUCUCUCUACUCUGUAUCUCAAAAUAAAUCUCCUUCCCAGUUCUAGGCUCAAGUGUAA